rnacentral:tRNA from 1 species
GAGGGUGUAGCUCAGUGGUAGAGUGUAUGCUUAGCAUACACAAGGUCCUGGGUUCAGUCCCUAAUACCUCCA